CGAGUUACCGCUCUAUAACCCUUUGUGAACAUACCUACAACUGUUGCUUCGGCGGGUAGGCCGUCCCCUGAAAAGGACGCCUCCCGGCCCGGACCGGACCCCCCGCGGGACCGGACCCGGCGCCCGCCGGAGGAUAACCAAACUCUAUUGUAACGACGUUUCUUCUGAGUGGCAUAAGCAAAAUAAUCA
rnacentral:misc_RNA from 1 species